UACGAAGGGGGCUAGCGUUGUUCGGAAUUACUGGGCGUAAAGCGCGCGUAGGCGGACCUGCAAGUCGGGGGUGAAAGCCCGAGGCUUAACCUCGGAACUGCCUUCGAUACUGCGGGUCUCGAGUCCGGGAGAAGGUGAGUGGAAUUCCUAGUGUAGAGGUGAAAUUCGUAGAUAUUAGGAAGAACACCAGUGGACGCAAGGCGGCUCACUGGCCCGGUACUGACGCCUGAGGCGCGAAAAGCGUGGGGGGAGCAAACAGG
rnacentral:rRNA from 1 species